rnacentral:rRNA from 1 species
GACGAACGCUGGCGGCGUGCUUAACACAUGCAAGUCGAACGGAAAGGCCCUGCUUUUGUGGGGUGCUCGAGUGGCGAACGGGUGAGUAACACGUGAGUAACCUGCCCUUGACUUUGGGAUAACUUCAGGAAACUGGGGCUAAUACCGGAUAGGAGCGCCUGCUGCACGGUGGGGGUUGGAAAGUUUCGGCGGUUGGGGAUGGACUCGCGGCUUAUCAGCUUGUGGGUGGGGUAGUGGCUUACCAAGGCUUUGACGGGUAGCCGGCCUGAGAGGGUGACCGGCCACAUUGGGACUGGGGUACGGCCCAGACUCCUCCGGGAGGCAGCAGUGGGGAAUAUUGCACACUGGGCGGAAGCCUGUUGCAGCAACGCCGCGUGCGGGAUGACUGCCUUCGGGUUGUAUUCCGCUUUCGCCUGUGUCGAAGCGUGAGUGACGGUAAUGGGUAAAUAAGCACCGGCUAACUACGUG